rnacentral:lncRNA from 1 species
GUGUACACGUUUAAUCCCAGCACUCAGGAGGCAGCCACAGGUAUAUCUCUGAGUUUGAGGCUAACCUGAUCUACAGAGUGAGUUCCAGGACAGCCAGGGUUACACAGAGAAACCUUCUUUCUGAAAUUGAAAAACCACCAAACCAAAAAAAAAAAAAAAAGGGGGGGGGGGAGAUUCUACCCUAUUGCAUUCAUUGUAGCAUUCUCAAUGAAUGAUAAGUGACUACAAACUUGGUAACUAAAAAGGGAAAUCUCUUUUCUCACAGUUUUGGAGACAAGAAUCCAAAAUCAGAGUAGUGAGGGAACUAGUCCCUGGAGACCCAGAGAGAUCCCAUGUCUGACUCCUUCAAGGAGCGACCUAUAGCUGGGUCUUCCAUCUCCACCUCCAUCUUUCUUCCCACAGCAUUUUCUUCCUCCUUUGUGUAUCCUCUCACUGUCUCUUGAAAGGGACACUGACUGGAUUUGGGUUCUGCAUAAACAACUCAGUAUGACUUCACCUCAAAAUCCUAGGUAAAGUUUCUACUCAAGGUCACAUUUGUCAUUAAGGUCAAUUCACAAAAGGCACAACAUGGGAAACUCCUUUUAGGAUCCAACAAUCAGUCAGCUACAGACACUACUCACUAUUUCCAAAACCUUUAGCCAGAGAUUAAAAUUUAACCUUACAAAGAAAAGAGCUAACAGUGAAGAGUGCUGAGGGCUCAGACCCUUCAAGAAUGAAGGUUCAGGCUCCUGUAACAACCAACCCCAACAGCCACACCAGCUGGAGGCUACAGACAACUCUAGGGAGAAAACGUACAAUCUGGGGAGUAAGACUUCUUGCCACGGCAAAUGCAUAGCAAACGGGAAGAAGAGAGGCUGAGGUGCGGUGGCCGGAGCAGGGUUGGGCGUGGCUAUGCAGGCAGGCCCCUGCCAUCCAUCCCCCACCCCUCUGCUAACACCAGGCCAGCAUCCUCAGCUGACGUCAUCCACAGCGCCAAAGUGCUACUUCUUUUACCCGAAUAAAAAUUUCCAAUUCGGUUUUUCUUCGUUUUUCAAUCUUCUCUAACUCAAUUUGGCAGGUGUGGCAGAUGUAGAGAUGGUUGACAGCAGGCCCUCCUCCAUACCUAAGCAUGAAGUUUAGGACAAAGUCACAACUUCAGGAAAAAAAAACAUGUUCUAGGAAACUAUUUCUAGCUCUUUGAUCAAUGUUUAAAUUCCCAGUUACAAUAAACCCUGAGUUUGACAAGGUGGCUCAGUGGGUCUUGGUCUCCUCAGGACCCACAUGAUGGAAUCAAAGAACUCUCUCCCUCCAGCUGUCCUCCAAGUGCCACCCAUGCUCUGCAGCACAAAAGCACAUACACCAACUAAUUUUUAAAAAAUUAUUUAAACAAUAAAUCCUACAGGAAGAUUCUCAAAGUAAUAUGAAAAAAGUCG